rnacentral:tRNA from 2 species
CGCGGGGUGGAGCAGCUCGGUAGCUCGCUGGGCUCAUAACCCAGAGGUCGGCGGUUCGAAUCCGCCCCCCGCUACCA